UCUCAGAGACAGUUGAAGCAAACAAAAGAAACCCAACUUGUACCAAUCAGUAUCUCAGAAGGAAACAGAUGACACAAACAGAUUGAAGUGAGUUCAAGUAAGGGACUAUGUGCAAAGAUGUGGCUAGGCUUGAGGGGAUCAGUGAGAUGGGGUAAAGCAUCCAGGGUUUACCUCCCCUGGCCUGGAGGGGCAAGGGGGAGAGCAGGCACCAGUGCCUGAGGGAGGCACAGCCCUGGAAAAGGUGACUGGCAGACACUGUGGCCUUCCUUAGUGGCACACAGACUCUGCAGAAACAUGCAUCUGACAGCAGGAGUGAAUGCUCCCACCUCUCUCCAUCCAUCCUCUGAUCUGCUACUGGUGAGAGCUGAGAUCCACUUCUUAUUAGAUCCACACACUAGAAGGAGGACAAGGGAUUCUGGGAGAUGAAUAAACAGCCCCCAGGGAACAGAGCCAAGUGGAGAGCGGUGGAGAGAGGAUACCCUAAGGGGAAAACACAGAAUCUCCUCCUCACACUCCAAGGACUAAUUCAUUCCAUCUAGAAAGUGCGACUCCAUCCAAGGUUCAGAAACUCCUCCAAAUACUGGCUUCUCUAUAAAGCCCACCCUGAUGUCUGAUUCCUGAAUCCCAGCUAGCUCCUUCUCCUGACUCAGCAACCUGUACCAUCACUGAAGUUCUUCUGCCAGUUGCCCUGGUAAUACAGUGCAUCAGACCUGUCCGUCUCCCGAGGUAGACUCCAGUUAGCUAUGCGAAGGCAGAUAGCAAGCGUUCAACAAGUGUUGGCUGUAUCAGUCGGGAGGAAGCAUUCCAUUUUGGAGGGGAAGAAAAGAGUUGGAACCAGAGAGUGAAUCACAAAAUCCAGUUUCAGUUAACAGGAAAUGGAGUCUGAACUCCAGCUGGUGGAAGGCUCUACUCUGAAACUUUGGAAUCAGAACUUCACAACUUGUCGGGGAAGUACAGUAAUUGGCAAAUUUGAUGAGUGCGCCUGACCAUUUUGUUGGAUACUAUAAGAGCAAUUGCUCAAGGCAUUGCACAAGCUGGGGGGAUAUAUUUGCAGGAGUGCAUUGGGAACCAAGCCCCACUUUCCUGGGUCUCAGACAGAGGAACUGAAGGAUGCAUGUAAUCCAGUGCCAAAUUCCAGAUGCUGAAAUGAAAUCAGAAUUGCAGGAAUCCAAGGGAAGAGGAAUAAGGAUGACCCAUGUCCCAGAGCACCUGGUCCUGUGCAUCUUGUCCUGAGUGCUCGGCUAGGAGUGAAGCUCCCAGAGAACUCACUCUUCACCUACAGCACCUGCCCACGGCACCUUCCUACGUAGCAGAACUAAACUCUGGCACGCAGAGAAUCCACCUCCAAAAAUUGGUGCAAAAUCUAUUCAUGAGCAUUAUCAACAUUUGUUUUAUUUUAAGAAAUUGUUCUCAACUCUCAUGACUGAAUGUUUACUUCCAGGUAGUGUGUUUGCUAGUCUGAAAGUGGUUCUGCUCUGAAUUACUGGGACUUAGAGACUCACUGAGACUAAGGCCUCAUGCCUUUGUAGCUUUCCAAGGUAAAACUUAUUCGAAGCAACUCUUGUGGAUCUAAAGUUAACAUAGUUUGCACAUUAUAGUAACAUUAAUAGUUGGG
rnacentral:lncRNA from 1 species